GAGGGAAGAGCUGGGAGGUGGGAAGUGGGGGAGGGGCCCCAGACCAGGCUCAGAGCAUAUCCUUGCUCCUGGCCUCCACCGCAGAAGGUGGCUCACCCCUCUGCAUGGAACAGUCUCUCUCCAUUCCCUCUACCCUGGCCUUCCUCCUCCUUGCAGGCCCCAGAAGCUGGAGGGGGCUGGUCGGGGUUGGGCUCACAGACACAGUGGUGGAGCUCACAGAAGUGCCCCCACCCACCAGGAGCCCAGGGUGGGCCUCAGCCAGCCGGGGGUAAUGAGGCAUGGGAUGGACUCUGCGGGCACCAGGCCUGACCCUGAGUGCACCCAGGCGAGGGCGGGGGACACUCAGAUCUGCCCCUCUCUGCAGGAACCUGGUUUCCCCACCCUGGAGGCCAGCGCCAAAGGACGUUCACGUGCAGCUCAACCACACAAUAUAAGAGCUACUGUCUCCAAUUAACACUUGGGGACACUGAGGCAAAGAGCCUGGCUGAAUAUUGUGCCCGUGAAGACAGAGGGACAGCCUAUUUUGUUUGCUGCUGUAUCCUUAGCACCCAGCACAGGGAAGGGGUCCUGGUACAUUUCUAGAAAAAAUGGAGGGGAGCAGAGUCCCCCUGAGCACCUGGGGUUUGAUGCCUCCCUGCCCAGAGCCCUUGCUAUAGCAUAUGCUGGUGAGGGCCGAGGCUCUAGCUCACACUCCAGACCGGGGUAGGGAUCCAAUCUGGCUUUGAAGACAUCAUGCAGAGCCUCUGCUCUGGAGAUGGGAACCUGCAGACAAAUGCCUCCUUAUCUCAAUCCUCUGAAAACAGUUUGACCAGGGAGACAGCGUUCACUCAUGAAUUUAAGAAAAAAAAAAUCCCUGAUCCCUACUUUUUGCCAACUUCAAUGCUGAUUUCUAGUGGUACCAAGAAAAAUGCAACUGAGCCUCCAUCCUCAAGGGGCUCACAGUCUUGUGUGGAGAUAAAAAAUGCAGGCCUGCUGCAGAUCCAAGUCCUGUGACCGGGGUCCUGCCCAAGGGUCCUGCUUCCCUAGGCAUCCCAGAAGUUCAGCCUGCAUCUCGACCAGAGCCUGAGAGUAGACACCUGCCGGUUUAUCUGUCCCUUCAUGUAGCAGGUGACAGAGGUGCCAGGGGCAUGGCAGGGGUACUCUGACACAGCACUGCCCCACGGAGCCCAUGUCCCAGGGCAGAAGACCCACGAUGCACAGCCAGCCAGGUGGCCUCAUCCGAUCAGUCAAAGGCCUCAAUAGAACCAAGACUGACCUCUGCCAAAGAGAGAAUUCUUUCAGCAGACGGCCUUCGGACUUGAGCUAUGACGGCAACUCUUCCCCGGGCCCACCUGACGGACUGGGUUUCUCAGCCUCCACAGUCGGCAGUCAGGGAAAGCCUCCUGGAGACUUGGGCAAGAGACCCAAAGGAAGUGAAGGGGCGGGCAAGAUGGGAGAAGAGCAUCUGGAACAGCAUGUGCAGAGACCCAGGGCCAGGGCUGUCACUGGCAUGUUCCGGGGCUGGUAAGGAGCUGGGUGUGGUGGAAGCGGACUGUGCACCAGGAGAGGGGACCAUGAGGCAGAGAGGUCCCCGGCACUCCGUGCAGGCCUCUAGGCCAUUGUUGGACUGUUUCCUCUGAGCAGGUCAUGGAGUGCGUGGAACAGAGGAGGGAGGGACGGGACCUGACUUUGGGUUUAGGAGGGGGGUCCCUCUGGCUGCUAUGGGGCAGGAGCAGAAGCAGCAAGGCCAGCAAGGAGGCUGCGGCAACAGCUCAGGAGUGGUGGGGCGGGUGGCCCACACCACGGUGGGAACAGAGCCGGAGCGGGAGGUCAGAUUCUGGGUGUAUUUUGGAGGUGGAGGUGGCAGGGUUUCCUCACAGGCCGGAUGUGAGGCGUGAGGGAAAGAGAAGAGACGGGGCAGAAUGUGCUCAUUCACUCAUUUGUUCAUUCAUCCUACAUUCACUUUGUCUUUUUGACUAGGUGGGCAGGGAGUGUGGCAGCAUUGAUGAGAGUAGCUUUGUGGUAACACUCCUCUUAAACAUCAAAUACGCAGCCUCAGCCACACAACCAAGGAGGAAGCCGCUCUUCCAAGAGUCUCCCAUCCUUCUGUCCCUCCUCCUCCAGCCUGAACCCCUGCCCAGAGCACAGGGACAGCAGGGCUCCAGAGCUUCUGACCUGCCUGGGGUGGGGGCAGGCCAGGGAAGGGUUGUGGACCAUGGCCACCUGUGAACCCAGUCCUGGAGGGAUGCUGGGCAAAGAUGAGGCACAGGGCGAAGGUCGGAGGCAGCGGCAUGCUGGCCCUUGUGCAGCGGGGCAAGGUCUGGGGCACCGAGCGGCCUCACGCACCUGGCUGGAGGCUCAACUGUCCUGAGGCCGGGCAGCCACUGCAGGAUUGUAAGCGGGAGCAAUUUUGUUUAAGACAUCGCCCUCUGGUGGCCAUGUGCAAGGUGGCCUGGAGAGACAGCCCUGGGAGGGCUGUGGCCCCAGCUAAGGCAGGAGGAGGGCUCAAUCAGCCAUCUGUCACCUCACCACAAAGAGGACAGAAGGCCCUGUGCCCCCUCCCA
rnacentral:lncRNA from 1 species